GAGUGAACGCUGGCGGUAGGCCUAACACAUGCAAGUCGAACGGCAGCACAGUAAGAGCUUGCUCUUACGGGUGGCGAGUGGCGGACGGGUGAGGAAUACAUCGGAAUCUACUUUUUCGUGGGGGAUAACGUAGGGAAACUUACGCUAAUACCGCAUACGACCUACGGGUGAAAGCAGGGGAUCUUCGGACCUUGCGCGAUUGAAUGAGCCGAUGUCGGAUUAGCUAGUUGGCGGGGUAAAGGCCCACCAAGGCGACGAUCCGUAGCUGGUCUGAGAGGAUGAUCAGCCACACUGGAACUGAGACACGGUCCAGACUCCUACGGGAGGCAGCAGUGGGGAAUAUUGGACAAAGGGCGCAAGCCUGAUCCAGCCAUACCGCGUGGGUGAAGAAGGCCUUCGGGCUGUAAAGCCCUUUUGUUGGGAAAGAAAAGCAGCAGGUUAAUACCCCGCUGUUCUGACGGUACCCAAAGAAUAAGCACCGGCUAACUUCGUG
rnacentral:rRNA from 1 species